rnacentral:rRNA from 1 species
GACGAACGCUGGCGGCGUGCUUAACACAUGCAAGUCGAACGGAAAGGCCCUGCUUUUGUGGGGUGCUCGAGUGGCGAACGGGUGAGUAACACGUGAGUAACCUGCCCUUGACUUUGGGAUAACUUCAGGAAACUGGGGAUAAUACCGGGUAGGAGCUCCUGCUGCAUGGUGGGGGUUGGAAAGUUUCGGCGGUUGGGGAUGGACUCGCGGCUUAUGCGCUGGUUGGUGGGGUAGUGGUUUACCAAGGCUUUGACGGGUAGCCGGCCUGAGAGGGUGACCAGCCACAAUGGGACUGAGAUACGGCCCAGACGCCUACGGGAGGCAGCAGUGGGGAGUAUUGCACAAUGGGCGGAAGCCUGAUGCAGCAACGCCGCGUGCGGGAUGACGGCCUUCGGGUUGUAAACCGCUUUCGCCUGUGACGAAGCGUGAGUGACGGUAAUGGGUAAAGAAGCACCGGCUAACUACGUG